rnacentral:lncRNA from 10 species
AGAUUUGCUGGGUUUUCAUAUUCCAAGAAAGACUCUGGCAUUUCAAUACAGAAACAAAGCUCCAAAUUUGGAAGCAGCAGUGAAACUCCACAGAUUACUGAGGGCAAAAUUGCUGGGUCAUAUGGCACCAAGGAAAGGUCUUGUGCUGACACAGGGAGAAAGCUGUCAUUUACAAGCUGGGAGGAGACCUUCACCAGAAACUGAAUUUGCUACCACCUGGAUCAUGAACUUUUACUCUCCAAAACGGAAGGAGGUGAUGAAGAGAGAAAGAAAGGAUGGAAGGAAGGAGGAAGUGGACAAUGAGAUCCUGGCUGAUGGAUGUAAUGAAGGCAUGAACUAUACUAGUUGAACAAGGAAAUGAACUUGAACCAAAUUGUGAAGUUCUCUGCAGUGAAAUAUUAAAGAUUAGCAAGCUAAACAGAGAAAAAGAUAACACUCAAGAAACUGCCUAUAUGUAAGAGAUUCCUUUGAGAACUUUCAAAUGGCUCCUUUCUACAAAAGACCUGAGAAUACUUAACCCCCCACCACUAGCACACUCAAAGCUCAAGGCAAAUGCAUUUUCAAGAUUGACAGGGUCUUGGACUCUGAAAGUCUUUGGACCCAAGAAAAAUCGUGUUAUCUAAGAGAGCAGUUAUUCUGACACAGACUGAUAUCAGGUGCCUGUGGCAUGAAACACGGAAGAGAAUAAUAGCAUCUACCUUAUAAGAAGACAUACUAUAUUCUGGACCACAUAUCUGAUAAUUCUUACAGCCCUUUAAAGAUAAUCAUAACUAGAAUAUUAUCUUAUUUUGUAGCUCAUAGAUGUCAAAAGACUAGCUCAUAAUUUUAUUGCGGAUACAUAGCAGAACCAAGAUUUGAACUCAGACCUGUCUCAUUCCACAACUCAUUUUCCUUGAAGUCAAUAGAUGCCACUGAUCUCUAAAUACCUACAAAAGGGGCUCGGAGGUGGAGAGGGGAUGUCUGAGGAGCCUUAGGACUACCACCCAAUGUUCUGUCUUUAGAUAGAGAUGCUAUCACCAAUCUCUCUUUCACACAUACUCCUCCUCUUCUCAUUUCUGUUCGUGUACUUGGUUCUCAGUGUAAGAUUUUGUUAGAAGAAAGAGGCAUGUUGGUAAAAUAAGAAAUAAUAUAUCAAAAAUAAAAUAAAAUUGUUUGAAAGUCU